UGUCUUUAAUAUAAAGAAAAGUAAAUAUUUGGAAACGCUUCAAAAUUUAUGAAAAUUUGGGGUGUUACAAUUGCCAUGGCAUUUAGUCACAAACUAACUGCUGAUUUUAUACUCGAAAUUUACAUCAAGGACAAGGAGCAAUAAACCAAUGCCAGCAUAGUAUUUUAUCAGCUUCCAGGCUACAUGGCGAUUAUCCUACAUGAUGGGAAAGGACUCGAGUUUUUUCUUAAUGUGGUUUCUAUUUCUUCAGUGGCGUUGUGAAAUGUAGGUUUUGAAAUAUACUUUUUCAAGAUUAUAUAAGUAUCACCAAAUAAAUGGAUGAGAGAAUAAUUGACAAUUGAAGAACAUAUCAUAAUCUUUAUAGUUAUUAAGAUAUAAGAAUAAUGGGUUUAUUAUUUUCAAUCCCAUUAUUACAACCGACCAAAGCAUGCUAGCUAUAUGGGCGAUUUUCCUUAAAAGAGAAGCAAAAGGAAGGUUCUUUUCUUUCCAGGGCUUUGGGGCAGAAGGUAGGUAGUAUAUGAAUAAGAAUUUGGAUCUAUAUUAGACUAAACAAUAUAGUGAGAUACCAGUGAUCAUCUCCAACAAGUUCUCUGACAAAUUUCAGUCCAUUUUCGUUGUCUACAGUCGCGUGGUUAACAUCUGGAUAUUGAGUAGAUGAAGACGAUUGAUUUCCCCAUAUGAUUACAUUCUUCACAUCACUGACGUGAACAUUCAACCUUUCUGAUCUCUGGCCUAGAGCUCUGUUGUGAUCUAGUCUUGUAAGGCAGGUGAUGUCUCUCUCUGGGAUUGAAGGAGGAAAUUCUUUUAAAAUGAGUGCAUUUGUAUUAGUGCAUUUGUAUUAGCUGGGUUAGCAACCACCAACACCUGUCAAUAAUGAACGUGAUAAAAGGCAUUAGCUACAAGGAAGCCGAUAUUAUGGUUAACUUUUUGUACACGGGAAGUUUAUCAAUGUCAAGAAAUUCAAGAAAACAAUGCAACAAUUAGGUUCUUUGCACAGACAAGAAGUGUAUGCAGAACUUCUCAAUUGUCUAGAAAUUCUAGAGAAGGAAAGAUUCGGGCCAAUCUUUUCCUCUUAGGUAACACUUGCCUUGCAAUCUGGGACAGUGUGUUUCUCUAAUGCUGAGGCCUGAGCCUUGGAUAUGGAUACGUUUUUGGACAUUAUGUUUUUCCUUUCCAUUCCUUCCAUGGGAAUCCGCCAAUCAUGAUGGCAAUGUCUACACCUUUGCAAGCUUCAACAACAUUUGUCGUGGCAACAAUGCCUGCAACAAUAGUAAUAUUCAGCCAAUUAACAUACAUCUCGGGUAGUGAUUGAUGAAUUCUGAUUGAAUUAGAU
rnacentral:lncRNA from 1 species